rnacentral:lncRNA from 1 species
AGCAACUCUCCCUCCUUACCUCUCUUUGACCUCCUUUAUUCUCCUUCACAGCCUGGCCCUUGACUUCUCGGCCUCUUCUUUCCCUUCUUUACCUGCAAUGUCCUGCCCCUACUGGGGUCUCCUUCGCACCCUUCUCUCGGGUCCCAUCCCUUCAGACGCCAAACCCCAGCAUUCCUCAACGGCUCGGCCUGGUCGGCUUUAGCCCGAUUUUGUUCCCGUGCCCCUGGGCUGGGAAACAAGUGUGCGGUGCAAAGUGGGGGCAAGAAUCCCCCUCGGCGGUGGCCCCUGCCUCGCCCCCCUCCGCCCCUCCCGAGUCCCGGUUGCGGCGCUUCCUGGGCGGAUGGUUGGGACUCGCUGCAGCAGCUGCGGUUCUGCUGUGUCAUGCAAGAAGGAGGCGGCGGCGGCGCCGGCCGGAGCUGGAGGGGGAGGAGGGGAGGAACCUGAUCUCUCCGGUAGCGAAGGGCUGGAGGCAAACACCGAGCUCCCCCAGAGCCGCCCGGGAGCAGGGAGGGCACCGCUACCCCGAGGGGCCCUCCCCGCGGGGCAGAUGGAGACACCAGCCUUGAAGAGCCUCGCUGCCCUAAUCCAAGCCAGCUUCUGUACUCACAGACCAUGCCCGGGGGAGUUCUCCUCACUCCAGUCUUGGCUUAUGCUCUCUCUCCACUGGCCGUGUGUUGUCAGGCCUUGUGAUCCUGUUAUGGCAACAUUAAUAAUGCUUUCCCAAUACAAAUGACACAAUUAUUGGCACAGGGGCAUGAUGCAGGGGUAAUGAAGAACUUCAACAUCCACUGGCAAGCUCAUUCUGCUGAAAAGAGCAUCAAAUACAUUGGCACGACUUAAAUCUAAACUAAUUGCUUAUUGAAGAGGUACUAUCCUAUGCUUAAUUCUCACCAGCUAAGAAGAAUGUGUUGCUGAAGUGGAAGUGGCAUACGACUUAACGUUAGUGACCAAAGCAUCCUUGAACUUGUAAUAGCCAGAGAAGGCAAUUCUGCACUUGCUAACCUGACACAAAGAAGACUUGAGCAAGUUCACAGAAAAGAUGGACACAGCUCUCUCUGGCCAGGAACUAGGAAAGAACUCGAAAGAGGACAAUAGUGACUUAAAAUUUAAAUAUUUAUAAAACCGGGGCACCUGGGUGGCUCAGUCAGUUGAGCAUCUGACUCUUAUUUACGGCUCAGGUCAUGGUCUCAGGGUUGUGAGAUCGAGCCCUGUGUCGGGCUCUGCACUCAGCUUGGGGUCUGCUCGGGAUUCUCUCUCUCCCUCUGCCCCUCCACCCUGCUCCCACAUGCGUG